rnacentral:rRNA from 1 species
UACGUAGGGUGCAAGCGUUAAUCGGAAUUACGUGGCGUAAAGCGUGCGCAGGCGGUGAUGUAAGACAGUUGUGAAAUCCCCGGGCUCAACCUGGGAACUGCAUCUGUGACUGCAUCGCUGGAGUGCGGCAGAGGGGGAUGGAAUUCCGCGUGUAGCAGUGAAAUGCGUAGAUAUGCGGAGGAACACCGAUGGCGAAGGCAAUCCCCUGGGCCUGCACUGACGCUCAUGCACGAAAGCGUGGGGAGCAAACAGG